GUGACGACUCCACACACUUCCGCAAAGCGGUAAGUGUGGGCUUCUUAAGAAAUUAAGAGGUUCGUCAUUAGCCUCAGUAACCCGCCCGUGCGAGGGUUGCUACGUUUUUUAAGAAUGUAUAGGCACUUUGGGAUAUAGGGAGUAGCGCCCUGUCUUCUAGUCCCAAACACUGCG
rnacentral:sRNA from 18 species